CCUACGGGAGGCAGCAGUCGAGAAUCAUUCACAAUGGGGGCAACCCUGAUGGUGCGACGCCGCGUGGGGGAAUGAAGGCCUUCGGAUUGUAAACCCCUGUCAUGUGGGAGCAAAUUAAAAAGAUAGUACCACAAGAGGAAGAGACGGCUAACUCUGUGCCAGCAGCCGCGGUAAUACAGAGGUCGCAAGCGUUGUUCGGAAUCACUGGGCGUAAGGCGUGCGUAGGCUGUUUCGUAAGUCGUGUGUGAAAGGCGCGGGCUUAACCCGCGGACGGCACAUGAUACUGCGAGACUAGAGUAUUGGAGAGGGAACCGGAAUUCUCGGUGUAGCAGUGAAAUGCGUAGAUAUCGAGAAGAACACUCAUGGCGAAGGCGGGUUCCUGGACAUUAACUGACGCUGAGGCACGAAGGCCAGGGGAGCGAAAGGGAUUAGAUACCCUAGUAGUC
rnacentral:rRNA from 1 species